rnacentral:rRNA from 1 species
CGCGAAACCUCCGCAAUGCGAGAAAUCGCGACGGGGGGACCCCAAGUGCCACUCUUAACGGGGUGGCUUUUCUAAAGUGUAAAAAGCUUUAGGAAUAAGGGCUGGGCAAGACCGGUGC